CGGAAGGGGGCUAGCGUUGUUCGGAAUUACUGGGCGUAAAGGGCGCGUAGGCGGUCCCUCAAGUCAGGCGUGAAAGCCCCGGGCUCAACCUGGGAACCGCGCUUGAGACUGGCGGGCUAGAGUUCGGGAGAGGAUGGUGGAAUUCCCAGUGUAGAGGUGAGAUUCGUAGAUAUUGGGAAGAACACCGAUGGCGAAGGCAGCCAUCUGGACCGACACUGACGCUGAGGCGCGAAAGCGUGGGGAGCAAACAGGAUUAGAUACCCUGGUAGUCCACGCCGUAAACGAUGAGUGCUAGACGUCGGGGCUCUUGGAGCUUCGGUGUCGCAGCUAACGCAUUAAGCACUCCGCCUGGGGAGUACGGCCGCAAGGUUA
rnacentral:rRNA from 1 species